rnacentral:misc_RNA from 1 species
GAUGAAGAACGCAGCGAAAUGCGAUAAGUAAUGUGAAUUGCAGAAUUCAGUGAAUCAUCGAAUCUUUGAACGCACAUUGCGCCCGCCAGUAUUCUGGCGGGCUUGCCUGUCUGAGCGUCAUUUCAACCCUCAUGCCCCUAGGGCGUGGUGUUGGGGAUCGGCCAAAGCCCGCGAGGGACGGCCGGCCCCUAAAUCUAGUGGCGGACCCGUCGUGGCCUCCUCUGCGAAGUAGUGAUAUUCCGCAUCGGAGAGCGAUGAGCCCCUGCCGUUAAACCCCCAACUUUCCAAGGUUGACCUCAGAUCAGGUAGGAAUACCCGCUGAACUUAAGCAUAUCAAUAAGCGGAGGA